ensembl:lncRNA
CUGCCACUGAUGCGGUGGGCCGUCCCCCUAUGCGCCUCCACUGGCAUCGUGUUACAGUAGCAGUUUAGCUCGAGCUGAGGCGCAGAGCGGAGGACGCUGAGUGGAUACGGUGAAACACCGGUUGGAACUAUUAGCUGGCCGGCGAGCGAGGACUGCGUUUAAAGCGUCCGUGGAGGCGAACUAACUGGACUUAAACCCCGCGACAUUUCUUUUUUUUGCGCCGAAUGUCUUGAAAAAAGCCAUAGCCUGGUCUACCCAAAGACCACACAGACACAGUGUGCACGACUUGGAAUAAUCAGCCACUCUUCACGAGAGAGAGCCGUUUGGAAAAAGCACUCGCACGCUGUCGUACGAAGGGACCCGGAGAGGAAUAUUCACCACAGAUAGAGAGAGACAGAAAAGGAGAGAUUCAAGGAGAGGAACACGGGAAACUCCAACGAUGCGAUUGGAAUGAGGUAGUCGGUGCAGAAUUUGCCAGCGCGCCGUGGAGUUGUGACUGAUGGAAGGCUGUUGUCAUCGGUAGGCGGUGGGCUGCGACAGGUAGAGGCUCCGGGGGAGACUCGACAAAGGCACGGGGGAUAGCUCUCGCGCCUCCACCGCGCUGUCAAACGUCGCGCUUCAUCCCAGCACCUGGGAUCAGACGCGAUCCGUACGCGACUCGUUUUAACGUCAUCUAUUUGCCUUCGAACAGUUUUAAGUAAAGCAAGCCACAGGUCAACCAGGACACACACAAGCAGGGGGCUUUCCUUGGCCCAGAUCGGAUCGAAUCGGUCGGGUCGAGGUUCGCUCGUUUCUUCUGCGGACAGUUCAGUCAAGGACGCGGCUGGAGUAGGGGAGGUCCUCGAGCCUGAUUUGAAGAAGUUGGACAGAAGGACAUGUAUCUGAUAUCGACCUCACAUGCCCCCGACUAAUCAACGCUUACAUUCCACCGGGCCCGUACCAUUGAUAAAGGCUGCCACGCGCACCGUCCCACGCCCGUGAGUUACUGCCCCAGUCCGCGAAGAGAAUGGCGGGGCUGGCGUGCUGGAAGUAUUACCUUUGGAUCGCUAUCGUCAUGGGCCGGACGGCGACACCUCUGGCCAAGUCCCUGGAGACUAUUAUAUGGAGCUCACAGAACCCCAAAGCAGAUGAAAAUGAGGGGAUUAAAGAGGGGAGGAGAGGAAGCCAGUGGAGACGGUUGAAACCCAGCCCUGGGCUCAACCGCACAUCCUUUCAGUCCAGCGCUGAGCUCCCCAGAUUACUUCCAUGUGUCAGUUCGACGGGGGGGGGGGGACGAAGACAGAGAGAGAGAGGAGAGAAGAAAGGGGGUACAUCGGAGAGAAGGGCAGUGCGUGAGGAAGCGAGAGGAGUCGCCGGGCGCCGGGGAAAAGCCAAGCGGGACCCCGGGACCGGGGUGGAGAUCAGCGCGGGUGUGGGACAGUGGAACGGAUCAGUGUGACAGCCAUCUCUAAAACCAUUACCCCUCCAUGGGCCGCGUGGAGCAGCGGGGCCAGCCUUCCUCCCAGGGGCUGACCUCAUCGCACACUUUAACUGUUUCUCACGGAACUACACCACCCCUUCCGCCCGCCUCCCCCC